rnacentral:rRNA from 1 species
CCCAAGAGAUCGGGAUAACACCUGGAAACAGAUGCUAAUACCGGAUAACAACAGAUGAUGCCUAUCAACUGUUUAAAAGAUGGUUCUGCUAUCACUCUUGGAUGGACCUGCGGUGCAUUAGCUAGUUGGUAGGGUAACGGCCUACCAAGGCGAUGAUGCAUAGCCGAGUUGAGAGACUGAUCGGCCACAUUGGCACUGAGACACGGCCCAAACUCCUACGGGAGGCAGCAGCC